CCUGAUCCAGCCAUCCCGCGUGAGUGAUGAAGCCUUAAGGGUUGUAAAGCUCUUUCGUCGGGGGAAGAUAAUGACGGUACCCGAAGAAGAAGCCUCGACUAACUCCGUGCCAGCAGCCGCGUUAAGACGGAGGAGGCUAGCGUUGUUCGAAUUACUGGGCGUAAAGCGUACGCAGUCGUUGAUCAAGUCAGGUGUGAAAGCCCGGGGCUCAACCUCGGAAUUGCGCCUGAGACUGGUCAGCUAGAGUUCGGAAGAGGAGAGUGGAAUUCCCAGUGUAGAGGUGUUAUUCGUAGAUAUUGGGAAGAACACCAGUGGCGAAGGCGACUCUCUGGUCCGAUUCUGACGCUCAAGUACGAAAGCGUGGGGAGCAAACAGGAUUAGAUACCCUGGUAGUCCACGCCGUAAACGAUGUGUGCUAGAUGUCGGGAAGCUUGCUUCUCGGUGUUCAGCUAACGCGAUAAGCACACCGCCUGGGGAGUACGGCCGCAAGGUUAUAAUUCAAAGGAAUUGACGGGGGCCCGCACAAACGGUGGAGCAUGUGGUUUAAUUCGUUUCAACGCCCAGAACAUUACCAGCUCUUGACAUGGGAAGUAUGGGCCUGAGAGAUCGGAAUGUCCAGUUCGGCUGGCUACCAGAAAGGUACCUAAAGAGG
rnacentral:rRNA from 1 species